AAAAGCACUCACUUUGCCAAGGUUGCAUCCCUUCCUUUGAUCUUGGAUUAUGAAGUUACCGUGCAACGUGUUCCCAUGGGAGACUAAAGGCCAGAUGAGUUUCAUCAGGAAGUAAGUUACCUCUUUGACUCUGAAGAAGCCAGGAACAGGAUGGCUUCACUUCAUGGAGCGGGAGGAUUUACUAUAACAGAGUCAUUUCAUGCAAGUGAUUGACUGUUACUGCUACCUGCGACAGCCUGAAAUCUGUUGCCUUUGCGUCCUUGCUGUUAGUACAAUUGUUCAUUCAGGGACUGAGACGCUCGCGGCGCAUCCAAUUCCUCCCUGUGCAAGUGGAUGCGAUCCCCAUCAAAAUCAAUUGACUGAAGUCAGACCCUGCAUCUUCAGUUGCUAAGGAAAGAAAAAUCAGUGUUGCUCACGAGAAGACCACUGGUGCAGAAAGUCACUUAGCACUAGCAGCUGCUUUAUGGCAUCAGAGCCUGGCAGAGCAGAUUCAGAGACGUGAGCAAAGGCUGGAGCAGGAUGCUGUAUUACAUAAAAGUCCUGGAUGGGAGGAAACCUUGAGCAGAGGGUGGCUCCUUGACCAUGUGUGGAAAAUUCCUAUUUAUUUCUUAAGGAAAGUGUGUGUGUCUUAGUUGUUUGUUUAGUUAUUUAUACAGCUAAAAUGAUCAAGGACAUUGCUGUCAGCCUACAGAGAUCUGCUUCCAUACCUUCUCAAUGCAGCCAGGGAACUGACAGGGGCUCCAGUGCUCUAAAUUGAUUAUUAGCUAAUUAGCCAAUUACUAUUCUUUAUUAGCUUAUUACUAUUAGGUAAUUAGCCCCUACCUGGCCAUUGCAGCAGCCCUGUCUUGCCUAUGCCCCACAGAGAUGAAGACUUACUCCCAGAUUUGUCUUCAACCCAGGUCAUUGAGUUUUGGACUUGAUCUUCAAGAGCACCUUGGCUUCCACACCAGCAUUCCUUUGGGAGUAUAUAGGCUUGCAUUCAGCUGUAAGGAAAGCAAGUAAGACCCACCCAAAAAUACUGGAGUUGAUUUACAGGGAAAGGGCCAAUUUUUUUCCUUUAUCGCUUCUACCGUUGCAGAGAGAUGAAUUUUCCAUGGCAUAAUAGCAGAACAAAAAUAGAUUGCUUCUGUAAUACACUGUACAGCGGGCUAGAAUACAUCAGCUUUUUCCCUCAACAGUUCUUUGACAAAUGAAACUUUAUCUAGCUAAGUUCACCACAUCAUUCUCCUUCUUCUUCCUGCUCUGCUCCCUUUUUCCAAACUCCUGCAAGUGCCAAAAUGGUGCAUCUGCAGUCACACAACUGUUAAGACCACACACUGUCUGUCCUGCUGUGAAGCUGCUUCCAGAGAUAUGCAGUGACAUGGUACACACCCUGUUGAUUGCUGGAUGGAUGGAGGUUUCUGUUUAUGCUACUGCUGAUGAGCAGCAGUGGUUGGGCACUCGGGCUAUGGGUCACCUACUGGCCAGGUUUCCCUUAUUUUGGACUGCAUUUGUUGUUGUGGACAAUUCCCAGUGCUUUUUGCACCAACUUUCCCCUUCUGUUCAGUCUUGACUGAGGAGAAGUAUUAGGGAAAUGCCCUUGUCUAUAGAAAACCUUCUAAUUAAAACAAUUCCUUGGCUCUGUGCUACUGAAAGCAAACAACUCUGAAGGGAGCAUUUACUUUAUCUGUAAGUGAAGAAAAAGCAAUAAAUGCUCACAAUCUGGCUAAAAAUAGAUGUCAAAGUGAAAUCUCUGUUUUCAGAUCUACAAAAAGUAAAACCUUUUAAAAAACUUAUGCUAUUUGUCAAACACGUUUCAAACUCUGGGGAAAAGCCAUUCCUUUCAGAUUGAAAUGUUCCCUUCAACUCGAGCGUUUUAUGGCUUGACACUCCCCCAGCGCCCCAACCUGAUGUUUCUGUAGAAAGGGAUAUCAGGUGAGACUAACAGGAAACUUGUUCCUCGAUAUAUUUGGGUUAUCUACCCAACGUGAGUGUUUUGACCUCUUCUAUUUUACCUAAGUUAUCCUAACUUCCAUUAUGAUAUGGUGAGCCCUUAUGGAUGCCUUAAGGGCUCUAUGCUUGAAGGCUGAUAGCCCCUCUGGUCCCAAGAGAAAAUAUAUCUGCUGUUGUCCCAUCUCCUUUCUGCUACUUUCCAAUGAACUUCGCUAUUAAAUUCAAAGAAAUUGCCCAUAACUGCAAUGUUGUGCGAAUGUACUUGGAGAGCGUAGUUUGGUGAUGCAGGUACUGCACUCCCAGCACUUCUGUUGCUGCCUGGGGCCAGCACAGACCAAGAUAAGGCAAACAAAAUAUUCUAGAAGGAGAGUGGGUAUUUUAUGAUGGGGGAAGCUGAUAGUUGGGUGCUACCUUGAAUCUCAGCAGAUUUCAAAGGCUUCACACAGACAGAACAGGCAAAACUUUUCUGGAAGACCCACCUCAAGUAGACCUUCCUCUUGAGGUAAGAGUUAAGAGGUGUUGCAAGGCUGAGAUUGUGUUAAAAUACUCCCUGUAUCCCUUCAUUGUCAUCCCUGGGAGUGUUGAAAACGCAUCCUCAAAUAUUUUCUGGACAAAGCAAAAUGCACGUGCCCAGCCCCAUCUGUAUUCCCAGAGCACCAGUGACAGCCCAGUUCUGCCCCCACGACAUGUCAGGGUCCCCAGGAGACCAUCCUCGUGGUGGCAUGUGGAAUUUCCUUCAGCACAGGAGCCACAUUGCCCCAACCAGGGGCAGAUGUGCAAAGCUGAUUGUGGGAAACUGGUGGCUAUAUUCAAGACCGACAAGCUGCAAAAAAAGGGAAAUGAUGAAUUUUGGCACCAUUGCACGAUAACUCCCCGACUCAUUCUGCCUUGGACCUCAACGCUCCACACCUUGAGCAAUGGCCUCAUCGGGUGCAUUGGGUGAAGGCUGCCAGAAUUCAGGGCUGUUAGACUGGCUACGAAGUCCCCAGAUGGCCAUAAAGAGGACUUGGUGCUGUAUUUAUGUGAAGGCUGUACCAUGAAAAUGGAUCAGUAAAUGCUUCAAGCGGAGAGCUUGGCUUGAGCUGAGUCCUGUGACUUGACAAGAACUGGAGCUGAGGAGGGAUUUCAGAAGCUGAAUGGUGCAUUACCAGAAGCACAAGGAGGAACAAAGCAUAGGGAUAAUGCAAAACAAAACCUGAGACCUGCAAGGUGUCAGGAACAAAGCACAGUCCAGCCUUUCCUUCAGAAAGGACCCAAGCAGGACACCUACAGAGAGCUGAAGGUCUCAUUUCCCUGACCACCAUCACCACGAGGUGGGAUAGACCAGCCUCAACAUCACACAAAUGCCCUCCAGGAGCACAUCUUGUGUGGGAUAUAUCAGUGGUGACAAUUGGGUGUCUUGGGUAGCACUGAAUACUGCAGCACGCUGGAGCAGAGGAAAACCACAGCACAUUCAGAAAACCACACCAGGAGACCUCCUUCCCAGCUAUCUUGAAUCAUCCUGGACACUAGGGAGGUGUGAGAUAUAAACCAGUAUAAAGCCAUUUGACUUUGAAUUUACAAGAUGGAAAGCCAUGGAAUAUUGCCCUCCAAAACCAAGCCUAACUUU